rnacentral:ncRNA from 2 species
CCCUUGACUCUCCCCUCCCAGCCCUCGCUCUCUCGCUCGCCCUCAGCGCGGCCCCCGCCAUGACGGAGGCGGGUGCCGGUGCCGUUGCCGCCGCUGCCGUCGCAGGGGGGGAGUCGGGUUCCCAGAAAGUAGCUUGAUGAGUGUCCAAAGUAGCAGUGGAAGUUUGGAGGGGCCGCCAUCUUGGUCCCAGCUCUCCACGUCUCCAACCCCGGGCUCGGCGGCGGCGGCCAGGUCCCUGCUGAAUCACACGCCGCCAUCCGGGAGGCCCAGGGAAGGUGCAAUGGAUGAGCUUCAUAGUCUGGAUCCAAGAAGGCAAGAGUUAUUGGAAGCUAGAUUUACUGGAGUUGCAAGUGGGAGCACUGGAAGUACGGGCAGUUGCAGUGUUGGAGCUAAAGCCUCAACAAAUAACGAAAGCUCUAAUCACAGUUUUGGAAGCUUGGGAUCUUUAAGUGACAAAGAAUCAGAGACACCGGAGAAGAAACAAUCGGAAUCAUCCAGGGGAAGAAAGAGAAAAGCAGAAAACCAGAAUGAAAGUAGUCAGGGUUGACUUUGGCAGAAUAUCAUGAACAGGAAGAAAUUUUCAAACUUAGACUAGGACAUCUC